UUUGAUAACAUCCUGAGGAACUUGCAUGUCAGUAUAUUUUGGCACAAGCAGUUUUCCACUACUAUAUUGUUUCUCUCUGUAGAACUGCUGAAGUAAGGUUACUGCAGUUACAGGGGAAAAAUACUUAUGAAAAAAUAUUUCACACUUUCAUUUCUUAUUUUGAAGAAUACUACAUAAUUUGAUACUGUUCUUUUUAUUUGGUACUAUAAAAUACAUAUGAAAACUGAUCAGUGCUCCAGCUUAAAACCAUAGGUAUUCAGUGUCAUGUACUCACUAUAUUUGAUAACACUGUUUGCUGUAUUUUACAUAGCACUAUGCUAAUUCCACUCUACUUCUCAAUAUCUGUGUACAUGUAAGACGAUUUCCUAAUGGUAGAGAUUUCUUUAUAUCUCAUUUGAAAUGAUGAGUCAGUUUUUAUUUUUCAGAUGGAAGCGUUUCCUGUUUGUUGCGUUUCAUCUAUUUCCCAGUAGGACUCAUUUUUCAUCGCCAUUAUGGCCAUUUGUGCUCUGUCUAGCUAAAUAUUUGUCCAAAAUAAUCUGAGUAAAGGAGAAUCCCAGGUACCACUUCUGAACUAGAACUGGCUUCUUCAGAGCUGGCUUGGGUGCAAGUCUGUGCACUUUGAGGAUUUCUCAUGAACUUUCCUGCAGUACUGCAUACACGUACGGUUAGUUCAGCUCAAAAGCAGUGGGGAGCAGUGACACCUGAGUUUUUAAACAGCUCUGAGAUAUUAGCACAGACACACCUAACCUUGCAAAGUGCAGAGCUGGCACUACUACCUAAUAUACCUUGUUAACUUGAGGUGCAUAAGUGUUGAUGCUGUGCUUCUCUAAUAAGACAGGUGCUGUGAACAGUACAGCUGCGUUUGUGUGGCACUACACCUCAACUACUGAAUCCUGCCAGCCUCUAACUGGAGAGCCAACUUCAGUAUCUUAAAUCUGUGGAACAAAUGAUAUGCCACCUGUAUUGUCCAGUGUUAGAUAAUACGAAGAGUUUGGGAAAUACCUUUUCCAGCAACAAAGAAUCUCAAAGAAGUGUUGAGAAAGAGAUUUUCUUUCACCAACUGCCAUCUUCAACUCAGUGGAUUUCCUCAUUCCUUCUUGAGCUGUCUUCUCUUAUCUGAAGCCAGACGUUACAUUUCAGAGCCUUUAGUUUUUUUUUCCCCACUGAAUAGCAAAUUUCUCCUUGUUUCGGAGGCAGAGGAUCCUUGAUCCUCGUCUCGCAACAUCAUUUUUUGAUGUUUCAGUUUCUGUAUGUGCCUGUGUGGGGUAGAAAUUGCAACUGCCAUCUUCUCUGAAAGGGAUGGGUGUGCUGCAAUUGCUGUCGCUCAACUUCUUCUGAAAAAGACCAUUGAAAAACAAGAGUGGCAUCUUUAGCAGUAUAAGUAAGAAAGGAUGCAUGGGUUGCAUAUCUACAGAGCGAGAUAAAAAUGGGGCAGAGCUGUUAAUCAGACAGAAUUAUGAGCUGGAGGAUUGACCAGGAUCAUAGUGACCCCAUCGUCUAAGACACUGGUUUUAUGCAGCUGAGUGUUCAAGGAGCUUGUCACAUUCUGUUUCAGGAUAGCUGAAGCUCAGAUGCAAAAUGUGCAUUCAUUUUAAAAAAAAUUUUCCUGACUCAUCCUGUAGUGCCUUCCUUUGCAGUUUGGUCUAUGUUUGUUAUUUCAGUUCUCCGUGCCUCAUGAAAGUAGUGCAAAUCAGCUGCCCCCACAUUAGCAUUCGGAUUCCUUAUAGCUCUCUGCUGCUGUCAUGUGAUCCUUCAGCCCUGAAGGGGUGUUUUUAUGAGCACUGACCUAUUUUACCAAACAAAGGAAUCUGAGCAGUGAAAUAGAAGGGACAGAGAAUGCAGCCUAAUAAGAGCUUUGUGUAAUUUGUCAGUGUCACCCCUCUUCUACAGAGGGGGUUACCUUCCAACCAUAUAGGAACCAACUUUUUUUUUUUUUGGUCUGGCAGCAUAAAGGAGAUUAAGGCAAAAAUUAAAAGUGAAAGUGAAAUAUAACCGACUGCAUUAUAAGACAUCCUGAUUUGAAGCCUGUGUUCAGAUAAAGACAAAUGUUUGGGGAUGCACAGUGCCUAACUUCUGAGCCUGCAAUUGCAGUCUGCAGCCUCUCCCUUCCAUGUGCAGUACCUGCAGCGAGCCCUUGCAUGCUCAACCCGAAAAUGAAGUUCACAGCACUCUGCAUGCUCAGGGGUCCUUCUGCUCUGCUCAGUGCUGGUGAGGCCACACCUGGAGUACUGCGUCUGGUUCUGGGCUCCCCAGUACAAGAGACAUGAACUUUCUGGAGAGAGUCCAGCAGAGGGCCAUGAAGAUGAUGAAGGGAUUGGAGCCUCUCUGCUAUGAGGAGAGGCCGAGAGAGCUGGGACUCUUCAACCUGGAGAACAGAAGGUUCAGGGGGGAUCUAAUCAAUUUACAUAAAUACUUGAAGGGAGGGUGCAAAGAGGAUGGAGCCAGUGGUGCCCAGGAUUAGGACAAGAGGCAGCGGACACAACUGAAUAUCUGAACAUCAGGAAACACUUCUUUGCUGUGUGGGUGACGGAGCACUGGGACAGGCUGCCCAGAAAGGUUGUGGAGUCUCCUCCUUGGAGAUCUUCAAAAGCCAUCUGGACAUGGGUCUGGGCACCCUGCUCUGGGUGGCCCUGCUUGAGCAGGGGUUGGACCAGAUGCCUCCAGUGGUCCCUGCCAACCUCAAUCAUUCUGUGAUUCUUUGAGUAAUAUCCAAGCAAGCCAAUGAAGAAUUGAAACAAGGCAUUUCUUAAUGUCAUCUUCUUUCCAGGUGUUGCGGAGCUAGAGAAGUGCCAAUCUCCGCUUGUGAUUCACAGUGGAGACUUUGCAUCUAUAAUUAGUUUUUUAAGCUGAGGAUGAAUCAUUCCUCUUCUUUUUAAACAGGUUAGGAGAAAGAGGACAUACAGUCUUUCGUAUUGUAUCCUAAUGGCAAAGGCACUAGGCUCUCAAGUGGAGAGAUCUCUGUUUUACCCAAUGAUGAUUUAAUACAUGAACUGUAUUAAAUUGUAUUUGCUCUGUUGCCCUCUCACCUUUUUUGAAAAGUGGCUCAGUUUUAACACAAAGACGACACUGGGUCUGCUGCCAUUUCCAUUUUGAGUGGCGCUCACCCAGGUGGCUAGAGGUCUCUCCUGGAAUCCAGAAGAUGCUGAUUUGAAUCUUCUUUUGCCAUAGCAAGAACUGACCCACACAUCUAUAAGUGGAAGCCUCAUAUAUUUUAAUGAAAGCAGUGUUUGCCAGUGGUUUUUUUUUCAGAGCCUGUGUAGAUGUAUGCUGCUAGGUUCUGGCCCUGAGGUCUAAGGAAUAAAGGAAAGCUCAGCUUUGAGGAUUGCAAUUGAAUGUUAAUGUGCUGUGUAAACAAAAACUGAGGCAAUUCUAGCCGUGCACGGGGCAGAGUUUUACAUUCUUUAGAAAGACUUCACUAGGAAAAAUGUUGGCAGCUCUGAAGUUAGUCACGAGUUUGAUGACUUCCCUGUCUGAAGAGGCCUCAGGACACUGAUUAGUUAUUUUCAGAGGAUUAAUAUCAAGGAAAAGGAACAAAA